rnacentral:rRNA from 1 species
UACGUGAGGGGCGAACGUUGUUCGGUGUCACUGGGCUUAAAGGGUGCGUAGGUGGUUGCGUAAGUAACGUGUGAAAUCCCUCGGCUUACCCGGGGAAUUGCGCGUUAUACUGCGUGACUUGAGGAUUUCAGGGGAAAGGGGAACUCCAGGUGUAGCGGUGAAAUGCGCAGAUAUCUGGGGGAAGGCCGGCGGCGAAGGCGCCUUUCUGGGAAAUUCCUGACACUGAGGCACGAAAGCGUGGGGAGCAAACAGG